AAUGAAGAGUCUACAGAAUUGGAGGAAAUUCAGGAUACUCUCCCAAGGCUGGGUCCAUAGUGGAUGCUCCUCAAAAUAUUCACUGCUAGGGUGACUCAGUCCCCAAGCAUACCAGUGACAGGAGGGGUGGCCCUAACUAAGCCCAAAGCAGCCCCCGCCCUGACUCUUCCCUCCCCCAUCUGAUCUACUGUCGGUACCACAAGCACAUCAGCAGAGAAGCCCUUCCCUGCUCCCACCUUUCUCCAAGGACGGGAAGUGUGGAAUGACUUUGGGGAGGUGACUCAGGUCCAGCUGUACUGAUCCCUUGGGUGAAUGGUGAUAAGAGAGUCUGAUUAAGUCUCAGAGGUAAGGGAUAUGCUUGACCUUCUCCAGUCCUGCCAGGAGCUCGGACGCCCCAUUCUUCUCCCCAACCCCAGCCCAGACCAAAAGAGGGGAAGGAAAAGCAGAAUGGGGAACAGCAUCAAUACUGAUGGAGUCUCUAUGGAGACCAUCUCUCCAAGCCCCCGUUUUCUCAACUGGCAAAUGACAGUUCCUAUAUCACAGGGAGUCUGCAUUUCUAACAAGUUCCCAGGUGAGCCCCAAGCUGCUGGUGUAUGGACUGUCCUCCGGGUCAUGACAUCAACGAGGGAUUAGAAUAGCACCUUGUACACAACAGCCCUCAAUAAAAGUCAGCUCACUAGACUUUUUCUUCUAGCGAUUUGAUCCUUAAGAAUUGUCCCUAGGGUACUAGAAUGGUUAUGUCACCGCUGGACAUAACUGAGUGAUUUGCCCAAGCACAGAAGGCUUGGAUUCAGGGCAGAAGCAGGGUUCAAGGUCAAGUCUGCAGAUCCAUCCUUUCCAGGCAUCACACCACCCCAAGCCCCACCUGCUUCAGUGGCAGCCAGAGGCUUGGAGCUGAGGACACGAGCAGCUUUGCCCCUCGGUCCCACUGCUGGCCCCUGCUGGGCCAGCCAGGCCUCCAGGUGCAAGCCCAGGCUCCCCCAAGAAAAACCUUGAGCCAUCACCUCCACUCCCCCAGCAGCAGCCUCUAGCAGCUUCCACCUCCAUCACCUUAUAAAGCGCCCCGAGCUGCACUUUUCCAAGCUGCAGUUUAAAUUUAUAUGGAGCGAACCAACUGUCCUUUCCCUGCAGCCUGGGCCUGACUGCUUCACACAUUCCUUCUGGAGCAACAUUACCUAAUUUAACCAUAGCCCCUGCUCUCCAGGGCUCUCAAAAUAGCAGCAGCCAGUAGGGGAAAAUGCCCUAAUGUUAAAAUAACCAAUUCUCCCUCCUCCCCCACUCUUGGCCAGCACCGCCUCAGACCCAGCCCAGGAAGGAACGAGGGCUGGGAGGACCAAGGUGGGCCUGGUUAGAGGCGGAGAUCCCGCCAUGCUUCCAGCGCUCUCACAGAUACCUUCCCCCAUAUCCUCCAGCUCAUCCCAGGGGCCAGGGUUGCCCUGGUUACCCAAGACUAGCAUUCAGCUUUCACCUUCUCCUAAUAACAGAAACUAUCGUAGGAAUAAUUGCUACCCUUCCCCAGGUAUUCAUUCUGAGCUAAACACUUCCUACCCCUUGGCUCACUGACAGCAGAAAAAUGUAGGGAUGAAUAUUCUCUGGUUUCAGAUGAGGAAAUGGGGGCUCAGAAAGGUGCAGUGACUUGCCCAGGGUUACAAAGCCCUGAGGUGGCAGAAGCGGGAUUGGAACCCAAGCCCAGGUACCCCAAAGCCCUAACCAUCUACUACCUGCUAGCUGGGGCGCCGCUUGCAGGGCCUGAGCCCAGGAGAGGAGGCACGGGGGUGGGGGGUGCUAGAAGGAGCCUGCUCACCUGCUGUAUCACCGCAGGGUCUGCUCACGUGGCUGGCACCAAACCGCAGGGGUCUGUUAUGUCCUCGCUCACAUUUCACCCGGAUUUUCUGAGCCUUAAAUCUGUCCUUAGGACCCCGGGGGCGCAGGCCGCCUGUCAAUCUGUGAUCCAAGCCCCCUACUCCCUGCUCCCUCCCUGACCCCGUGUGUCCCAGAGGAAGGCUGCCUCAUUAAAGCAGGGAGCACCCAAAUGCUGACAUACCUCAAGUGCAACCAGUGGUUAAGGAGCUGGGAGGGUGGGCCUCCCACUCCCCUGCUCACUUAAUGCAGAGUAAUCAUUAACCAGGGCAGAGCACGCACCCCCAGGGCCAGCUCCAGGUCCCUUCCCACCUGGGGAAUUCUAGGGCCACUUUCCCAGCCACCCCGCUGGGACCCUAAGGUCCCUGGUAUGGGAGUGGGGUGGUUUGGCAGGAAGGCCUAAUCUGAUAUCACUAGGGCAGGUGGCCCAGCAGGUACCUGGAGGGCUCUUAGGAGCAUCAGGGGGCCCCUGCACUCACACCCCUUCCUGCCCUGCUCCCUUCCCACAGUUGGGAAGAUUCACGAAGUGAAUGAAGAGUGUUGGACAAGAGGGUGGACCCUGGAGCUUGGGGUCUCCUCCAAGGGCAGGGGGAGGCAGAACAAAACCAAGCCCCAAGGUUUACCCAGGACCAAGCACCAGGGGCAGUCUUGAAGGGCGAAGGGGACCUUCACAAAAUAACAGUUCCUGUUAUUUAUCAACUGCCUAUUCUGGCCGGAUGUGAUUUCCAUGGUGUCUAAUCUUCACCAAAACCCUGCAAAGAUGGUAUGACCAUUCCCCGCUGAUAGAUGAAGCUGAGAGAGGUUGAGUCACCAGCCCAGGGUCACACAGCAAUAAGUAAUGGAGCUAGGACAGGGCUCAGGGCUGUGUCUCCUGCCCAUGACACUGUCCCGAAGUGCAAUCCGUGGAAUUAACUGGUGGGGGGUGCUAAGAGGCCUCAUAAAAGGGCUUCUGAGUCCUGGCCAGGAACCCCAGGGGUGACAGAGCCGCUGGGGGUGGGGGUGGAAGGCAGAGUGCUCCCCCCAAUCUGCAUGUGCCAGGUAAAGGUGGUCCCGAGGCUUCUAGCACUUUGGGGUAGGUGAGGCCUCUUGACAUGCUGAAGGGUGGUGGGUGGGACCUGCAGCCCCCCCCCACCCCCAACCCCGGGUCACUUAGAGAAUUCCCUUCAAUCGCUCAGGUGAAACGUAGGUGAGGCCCAGGCAGGCUGGAAGCUUUGAUCUUAUCACACAUUCCUGCCUCAGCCUUCCUGGUCCCUGUCCCCUCCCUACCCCUCCCUCCCAGGAGGUGGGAAGCCAGGACAACUUAACCCUUUCUUCCCAUUUCUUCAACUCCAGUCCAGGCUUGAGCUGAUCUCUGCCAUCCCUCUAGCUCCCCCAGAAGAGUUGGGAGAGAAAAGGGGGAAAGGAAAGUGGUUCAGCCCAAUCUCCCUUGUUUAACUUGGCGCCGCAGAACCCCAACCUGAGCUCUGGCUCCUAGAUUAAAAUAACCAGACUCAGUAUAUUU
rnacentral:lncRNA from 1 species